rnacentral:rRNA from 1 species
AGUGAACGCUGGCGGUAGGCCUAACACAUGCAAGUCGAACGGCAGCACAGGAGAGCUUGCUCUCUGGGUGGCGAGUGGCGGACGGGUGAGGAAUACAUCGGAAUCUACUCUGUCGUGGGGGAUAACGUAGGGAAACUUACGUUAAUACCGCAUACGACCUACGGGUGAAAGCAGGGGAUCUUAGGACCUUGCGCGAUUGAAUGAGCCGAUGUCGGAUUAGCUAGUUGGCGGGGUAAAGGCCCACCAAGGCGACGAUCCGUAGCUGGUCUGAGAGGAUGAUCAGCCACACUGGAACUGAGACACGGUCCAGACUCCUACGGGAGGCAGCAGUGGGGAAUAUUGGACAAUGGGCGCAAGCCUGAUCCAGCCAUACCACGUGGGUGAAGAAGGCCUUCGGGUUGUAAAGCCCUUUUGUUGGGAAAGAAAUCCAGCUGGCUAAUACCCGGUUGGGAUGACGGUACCCAAAGAAUAAGCACCGGCUAACUUCGUGCCAGCCGCCGCGGUAA